GCAGUCGGGGCCGGAUGGUUAAAGCGCUGGUCUAGAAAUAGAAAUCAUUUGGGGUCUCCCCGCACAGGUUCAAAUCCUGUCGACUGCG
rnacentral:tRNA from 1 species